rnacentral:tRNA from 1 species
GGGGGCGUAGUAUAACCAGGCUAUUACAGCCGGCUCCAGACCGGCAGAUCUGGGUUCAAAUCCCAGCGCCCCCA